AUUGAACGCUGGCGGCAUGCCUUACACAUGCAAGUCGAACGGCAGCACGGGAGCAAUCCUGGUGGCGAGUGGCGAACGGGUGAGUAAUAUAUCGGAACGUGCCCAGUCGUGGGGGAUAACGCAGCGAAAGCUGUGCUAAUACCGCAUACGAUCUCUGGAUGAAAGCGGGGGACCGCAAGGCCUCGCGCGAUUGGAGCGGCCGAUAUCAGAUUAGCUAGUUGGUGGGGUAAAAGCUUACCAAGGCGACGAUCUGUAGCUGGUCUGAGAGGACGACCAGCCACACUGGAACUGAGACACGGUCCAGACUCCUACGGGAGGCAGCAGUGGGGAAUUUUGGACAAUGGGCGCAAGCCUGAUCCAGCAAUGCCGCGUGCAGGAUGAAGGCCUUCGGGUUGUAAACUGCUUUUGUACGGAACGAAACGGUGAGCUUUAAUACAGUUUGCUAAUGACGGUACCGUAAGAAUAAGCACCGGCUAACUACGUGCCAGCCGCCGCCGUAAUAC
rnacentral:rRNA from 1 species